rnacentral:rRNA from 1 species
UACGUAGGGGGGCAAGCGUUGUCCGGAAUUAUUGGGCGUAAAGAGCUCGUAGGCGGUUUGUCGCGUCGAAUGUGAAAAACCCCGGGGCUCAACUCCGGGCCUGCAUUCGAUACGGGCAGACUAGAGUUCGGUAGGGGAGACUGGAAUUCCUGGUGUAGCGAUGAAAUGCGCAGAUAUCAGGAGGAACACCAAUGGCGAAGGCAGCUCGCUGGGACGUGACUGACGCUGAGACGCGAAAGCGUGGGGAGCAAACAGG